rnacentral:rRNA from 1 species
UUAAGUUAUUAAGGGCGCACGGUGGAUGCCUUGGCACUAGAAGCCGAUGAAGGACGUUACUAACGACGAUAUGCUUUGGGGAGCUGUAAGUAAGCUUUGAUCCAGAGAUUUCCGAAUGGGGAAACCCAGCAUGAGUUAUGUCAUGUUAUCGAUAUGUGAAUACAUAGCAUAUCAGAAGGCACACCCGGAGAACUGAAACAUCUUAGUACCCGGAGGAAGAGAAAGAAAAUUCGAUUCCCUUAGUAGCGGCGAGCGAAACGGGAAGAGCCCAAACCAACAAGCUUGCUUGUUGGGGUUGUAGGACACUCUAUACGGAGUUACAAAGGACGACAUUAGACGAAUCAUCUGGAAAGAUGAAUCAAAGAAGGUAAUAAUCCUGUAGUCGAAAAUGUUGUCUCUCUUGAGUGGAUCCUGAGUACGACGGAGCACGUGAAAUUCCGUCGGAAUCUGGGAGGACCAUCUCCUAAGGCUAAAUACUCUCUAGUGACCGAUAGUGAACCAGUACCGUGAGGGAAAGGUGAAAAGCACCCCGGAAGGGGAGUGAAAUAGAACCUGAAACCGUGUGCUUACAAGUAGUCAGAGCCCGUUAAUGGGUGAUGGCGUGCCUUUUGUAGAAUGAACCGGCGAGUUACGAUUUGAUGCAAGGUUAAGCAGUAAAUGUGGAGCCGUAGCGAAAGCGAGUCUGAAUAGGGCGUUUAGUAUUUGGUCGUAGACCCGAAACCAGGUGAUCUACCCUUGGUCAGGUUGAAGUUCAGGUAACACUGAAUGGAGGACCGAACCGACUUACGUUGAAAAGUGAGCGGAUGAACUGAGGGUAGCGGAGAAAUUCCAAUCGAACCUGGAGAUAGCUGGUUCUCUCCGAAAUAGCUUUAGGGCUAGCCUCAAGUGAUGAUUAUUGGAGGUAGAGCACUGUUUGGACGAGGGGCCCCUCUCGGGUUACCGAAUUCAGACAAACUCCGAAUGCCAAUUAAUUUAACUUGGGAGUCAGAACAUGGGUGAUAAGGUCCGUGUUCGAAAGGGAAACAGCCCAGACCACCAGCUAAGGUCCCAAAAUAUAUGUUAAGUGGAAAAGGAUGUGGCGUUGCCCAGACAACUAGGAUGUUGGCUUAGAAGCAGCCAUCAUUUAAAGAGUGCGUAAUAGCUCACUAGUCGAGUGACACUGCGCCGAAAAUGUACCGGGGCUAAACAUAUUACCGAAGCUGUGGAUUGUCCUUUGGACAAUGGUAGGAGAGCGUUCUAAGGGCGUUGAAGCAUGAUCGUAAGGACAUGUGGAGCGCUUAGAAGUGAGAAUGCCGGUGUGAGUAGCGAAAGACGGGUGAGAAUCCCGUCCACCGAUUGACUAAGGUUUCCAGAGGAAGGCUCGUCCGCUCUGGGUUAGUCGGGUCCUAAGCUGAGGCCGACAGGCGUAGGCGAUGGAUAACAGGUUGAUAUUCCUGUACCACCUAUAAUCGUUUUAAUCGAUGGGGGACGCAGUAGGAUAGGCGAAGCGUGCGAUUGGAUUGCACGUCUAAGCAGUAAGGCUGAGUAUUAGGCAAAUCCGGUACUCGUUAAGGCUGAGCUGUGAUGGGGAGAAGACAUUGAGUCUUCGAGUCGUUGAUUUCACACUGCCGAGAAAAGCCUCUAGAUAGAAAAUAGGUGCCCGUACCGCAAACCGACACAGGUAGUCAAGAUGAGAAUUCUAAGGUGAGCGAGCGAACUCUCGUUAAGGAACUCGGCAAAAUGACCCCGUAACUUCGGGAGAAGGGGUGCUCUUUAGGGUUAACGCCCAGAAGAGCCGCAGUGAAUAGGCCCAAGCGACUGUUUAUCAAAAACACAGGUCUCUGCUAAACCGUAAGGUGAUGUAUAGGGGCUGACGCCUGCCCGGUGCUGGAAGGUUAAGAGGAGUGGUUAGCUUCUGCGAAGCUACGAAUCGAAGCCCCAGUAAACGGCGGCCGUAACUAUAACGGUCCUAAGGUAGCGAAAUUCCUUGUCGGGUAAGUUCCGACCCGCACGAAAGGCGUAACGAUUUGGGCACUGUCUCAACGAGAGACUCGGUGAAAUCAUAGUACCUGUGAAGAUGCAGGUUACCCGCGACAGGACGGAAAGACCCCGUGGAGCUUUACUGUAGCCUGAUAUUGAAAUUCGGCACAGCUUGUACAGGAUAGGUAGGAGCCUUUGAAACGUGAGCGCUAGCUUACGUGGAGGCGCUGGUGGGAUACUACCCUAGCUGUGUUGGCUUUCUAACCCGCACCACUUAUCGUGGUGGGAGACAGUGUCAAGCGGGCAGUUUGACUGGGGCGGUCGCCUCCUAAAAGGUAACGGAGGCGCUCAAAGGUUCCCUCAGAAUGGUUGGAAAUCAUUCAUAGAGUGUAAAGGCAUAAGGGAGCUUGACUGCGAGACCUACAAGUCGAGCAGGGUCGAAAGACGGACUUAGUGAUCCGGUGGUUCCGCAUGGAAGGGCCAUCGCUCAACGGAUAAAAGCUACCCCGGGGAUAACAGGCUUAUCUCCCCCAAGAGUUCACAUCGACGGGGAGGUUUGGCACCUCGAUGUCGGCUCAUCGCAUCCUGGGGCUGUAGUCGGUCCCAAGGGUUGGGCUGUUCGCCCAUUAAAGCGGUACGCGAGCUGGGUUCAGAACGUCGUGAGACAGUUCGGUCCCUAUCCGUCGUGGGCGUAGGAAAUUUGAGAGGAGCUGUCCUUAGUACGAGAGGACCGGGAUGGACAUACCUCUGGUGUACCAGUUGUCGUGCCAACGGCAUAGCUGGGUAGCUAUGUGUGGACGGGAUAAGUGCUGAAAGCAUCUAAGCAUGAAGCCCCCCUCAAGAUGAGAUUUCCCAACUUCGGUUAUAAGAUCCCUCAAAGAUGAUGAGGUUAAUAGGUUCGAGGUGGAAGCAUGGUGACAUGUGGAGCUGACGAAUACUAAUCGAUCGAAGACUUAAUCAA